AGUGAAGUGUUUCCAAGAGCAGACGACGUACUCCAUCUUCCUUACUUCUCCGUUUCUUCAUCUUGCACAACAAAAAGAAGAUCAGGUGGGGAUUAUAAAUCUAUGAAGAAAUUCCUAUGGGAGGGAGGAAUAUCAUCGUGAUCCUAAGCUAGUCUUCAUUCGAGAAUUUCUUAAAUUUUAUCAAAAAACCAAGUUGGGGUUGGUCCCAAAAAGUUAGUGGGUUAGCUAUCGGAUAUCUUAAACUGGUGAUUCGAAGGAUACGGGCUCGAAAUACUAUCGCAGCUAGUAAAACAAUAAGGAUCAGAUCCUUAGGAUAGCAGACGUUCACGUUAGGCCCUAUUUCCAUUUUCAUCUAAUAUUUUGGUGAGCUCCAACUCUCUCUGGAGCCAGUCUAUGUCUAGUAUUUUUUAUUAUAGGUACAGGUCUCUGGUUGGACAUGAUGGGCCUGAUGCCAACUAGUCACUUGUAGUAUAAUGAGUUAAACUGACUAGACACUUCAUGGAC